CCAACAUAUAUUAACACAAUAAACACAAUAAACAUACAUAUUAAACAUACACAAUAGCAACAGCAUCAAAUUUUUUUUUUAACAACAAACAAGUUGUUAAGAGUCCCCUGCCCUCAGUUCUAAUGACUUUUUCAAGAAGGAUCCUAACUUAUUUGUUUGUAAAGGCGAUGAUGGAUUUAGUAAAUAUUGAAUUUUUUCUUCUUCAUUUAAAUUAUUAAAGUUAUUAUUUUCAGUACAUAUGUGAUGAAAAAAAUCAUUUCUUAGAGUUUUAUUAUACUCACAAUAGAGUAAAAAAUGUUUCUCAUCCUCUAGUAUUUUACAUUUAUGCUAAAGUCGUUCCUCUCUUGGGAUUUUAAAAUAUCUCCCCUUUUCAAUCAAAAGGGAGUGAUCACUUAUUCUAAAUUUAGUGAUUAAUCUCCUUAUCUGAAAAUUAGAUGUAUUAAGAUAAGAUUCUAGUUUGUAAUCUUUUUUAAUUUUUUUAUAAAGAAAAAAAUUUACUUUUAUCAUCAAUGUUUUGAAAUUUAUUUUGAAUUAAAUCUUC
rnacentral:lncRNA from 1 species